rnacentral:rRNA from 1 species
CGCGUAGGUGGCCUGUGGAAGUCUGCGGUGAAAGUCCGGCGCUCAACGCCGGAUCGGCCGUGGAUACUCUCGGGUUUGAGCUUACUAGAGGCAGAUGGAAUUCCGGGUGUAGCGGUGGAAUGCGUAGAGAUCCGGAAGAACACCGGUGGCGAAGGCGGUCUGCUGGGGUAAUGCUGACACUGAUGCGCGACAGCGUGGGAGCAAACA